rnacentral:rRNA from 1 species
GACGAACGCUGGCGGCGUGCCUAAUACAUGCAAGUCGAACGAGAGCGACCGGUGCUUGCACUGGUCAAUCUAGUGGCGAACGGGUGAGUAACACGUGGGUAACCUGCCCAUCAGAGGGGGAUAACAUUCGGAAACGGAUGCUAAAACCGCAUAGGUCUUCGAACCGCAUGGUUUGAAGAGGAAAAGAGGCGCAAGCUUCUGCUGAUGGAUGGACCCGCGGUGCAUUAGCUAGUUGGUGAGGUAACGGCUCACCAAGGCCGUGAUGCAUAGCCGACCUGAGAGGGUGAUCGGCCACAUUGGGACUGAGACACGGCCCAAACUCCUACGGGAGGCAGCAGUAGGGAAUCUUCCGCAAUGGACGCAAGUCUGACGGAGCAACGCCGCGUGAGUGAAGAAGGUUUUCGGAUCGUAAAACUCUGUUGUUAGAGAAGAACAAGUGCUAGAGUAACUGUUAGCGCCU